rnacentral:lncRNA from 1 species
CCCGCCGCCGCCACGCUCCGUAUAAAUACCGACACCGAAUCGCGCCAGUGCAAUUUGUUUUCGUGUUGACGGACUUUGUCGAGGCGUCGUCGCUUGUAAUUGUCGGGUAACGUUCAAAUUACGUUGUUGUCUUAAUCUUCUUAUUAUUCCUCUAUCACUGGUGUCAAGGAAUAAUUAACAGCAAUAAUGCAAAUGGUAUACAAAAUUCACCUUGCGAGUAAUUAACAACAACUAUAUAUUCUUAUGUAUGCAAUAAAGUUUCUUUCGCACUGUUAUAAAAAGAAAAAAUAACAUUUAAGAAAUUUCUAAUUUGGUUAUGGUUUUCAUUUUAUCUUGGGGUAGAGGUCUUAGUCAUUUUAUUAUUCAUUUUCAUACAUGUUUCUUCAUAUUAUUAUUAUUAUUUUAUUCUUGCGAAGCUUUUAUUUAGCACACAUACAAAAUUAUUAUUUGUUUUGUUUUGUUUUUCUAUAGCACUUCAAUCACUAACCACUUGCCGUCCACUUGUCCACUUUAAUCAAGCACUUUGCUGAACACGCCACGCAUAAACAGUUGAUGAUUGUACAAUCAAAGAUAUAAUCUGUAAUAUAUAUAAUGAUCUAAGUACUUUUGCCCAUUGUUUUAGAGGCAAUAUAUUGCUAUAAACACAUUUUUGUUACUUAUCUUGCGUUUCAUUUUGUUUUCUUUUGUUUAUAUAUUUUGU